UCUGCAAACAAAAUGUUGGGAUGAUCAGGGAACCGGGUCGACGCAGAGGACGGACGGCUCUCACAGAAGUCUACCGAAAGGCAGCUAAAAGCAAUCCGGUAAUUCAGUCAGAAAUGAACAGGAAUCAGGAAGUACCUCCACAGUCCUCGUACUUCAGCUGGUCCAGCUGAGCAGUCUCGUCAUAGAGCUCCAGGAACUCCUUCAUCCCUUUGGUGUACUUCAUGUACGUCUCCAGCUCGUGCUUGUUGAAGGUGAUUUCUGCUUUCUCUGGGCAUGGGGUGUGUGAUAAACCUGGGGAGG